GAUGAAGAACGCAGCGAAAUGCGAUAAGUAAUGUGAAUUGCAGAAUUCAGUGUAUCAUCGAAUCUUUGAACGCACAUUGCGCCCAUUAGUAUUCUAGUGGGCAUGCCUGUUCGAGCGUCAUUAAGUCCACUUAAGCCCUGCUUAGUGUUGGGAGACUGCUCCAGCGGUGCUACCCUGUAGCUACCCUGCAGCUCCUCAAAGACAGCGGCGGAGUUGUGGUAUCCUCUGAGCUUAGUAACUUGUUCUAGCUUUCGAGUACACCACUUCCCCUGCCGUAAAACCCUUAAUUUUUAAUGGUUGACCUCGGAUCAGGUAGGAAUACCCGCUGAACUUAAGCAUAUCAAUAAGCGGAGGA
rnacentral:misc_RNA from 1 species